UGUGUGUGUGUGUGUGUGUGUGUGUGUGUGUGUGUGUGUGUCUCGCUCGCCCUCUCUUUCUGUGUGUAAGAGAGCGAGGGUGGGGGACGGAGGCAGACAGGCGAGCAGGCAGGGAGGGGAAGAAGAGAAGGGAAGCUAUUAAACACACACUCACACACGCGCGCGCACACACCCGCCCCAACCCCCCAGAAGCCUCGGGAUUGCAGCUGUUUCAUGUGGGGCAGCAGUGCCGGCAGGGACGCCGGCCGGGAGCGGCCGGGAGUGGGAGCCGGGCGUGGAGCGCGAGCUGCUAGAGGCUCGCUGGGGCUCUGCUCCCCGCGGGAGCUAUUGUUGGUCUCGCCGGAGCUGAGCGCAGAGCCGGGACCUGCUCCUUCCUGGGCGCCCCGCUCCGGCUCGCGGAGCAGAGGAACCGCGCCGCCGAGAGCGAGAGGAGCCCCCGGCGCGGCGCCUUGCCUCUCUGCCGCCCUCCUACCCGCUUCCCCGGCGGUAGCAGCCUGCAGCCAUGCCCCUUUGCGGACCAGCCCGCCCCAGGCCCCCGGCGGGCGCUGGAGGAUCCCGCGAGGCGGCGCCGGGCUUCAGCGGCUGCAGCCUGCCCUGCGGGGCAAGUACCGGCUGCAGCAGCCCCGCACGGGCGGUGGUUGGAGCUCAGAACCCGGAGACGCGACCCCAGCCCCUCGCCUUCAGCGACCCGCGGGUCGCCCGUGUCUCCUCACGGGCGUCCGGCAGCGGUGUUGA
rnacentral:lncRNA from 13 species